rnacentral:lncRNA from 1 species
UUUCAUCGUCCGGGUCGUAUCCCACCAGCACGAUUGCAUAUUCAUCGUAUGUCGUCUGUUUGGCAUCCUCAUUCAAAUUUAUAUCUAUAUAAAGGUCGCUCUCUUUUUUCCCUUCCAUUCAUUAAAAGUGGGGUAAGCCGUGAGUCUCACCACCAUUGGUCCGUGACUCAACCGUUUGAUAAGCUCUUCCUGAUUCACAGUUCUAAACUCUACCAAUUUGGUUAGGCUUAGCUGUUGAAAAAUAAAACCAUCUAACAG